rnacentral:rRNA from 1 species
AGUGAACGCUGGCGGUAGGCCUAACACAUGCAAGUCGAACGGCAGCACAGUAAGAGCUUGCUCUUACGGGUGGCGAGUGGCGGACGGGUGAGGAAUACAUCGGAAUCUACUUUUUCGUGGGGGAUAACGUAGGGAAACUUACGCUAAUACCGCAUACGACCUACGGGUGAAAGCAGGGGAUCUUCGGACCUUGCGCGAUUGAAUGAGCCGAUGUCGGAUUAGCUAGUUGGCGGGGUAAAGGCCCACCAAGGCGACGAUCCGUAGCUGGUCUGAGAGGCGGAUCAGCCACACUGGAACUGAGACGCGGUCCAGACUCCUACGGGAGGCAGCAGUGGGGAAUAUUGGGCAAUGGGCGCAAGCCUGAUCCAGCCAUCCCGCGUGGGUGAAGAAGGCCUUCGGGUUGUAAAGCCCUUUUGUUGGGAAAGAAAAGCAGCAGGUUAAUACCCCGCUGUUCUGACGGUACCCAAAGAAUAAGCACCGGCUAACUUCGUG